GAUGAACGCUGGCGGCGUGCCUAAUACAUGCAAGUCGAGCGAACGGACGAGAAGCUUGCUUCUCUGAUGUUAGCGGCGGACGGGUGAGUAACACGUGGAUAACCUACCUAUAAGACUUGGAUAACUUCGGGAAACCGGAGCUAAUACCGGAUAAUAUUUUGAACCGCAUGGUUCAAAAGUUAAAGACGGUCUUGCUGUCACUUAUAGAUGGAUCCGCGCUGCAUUAGCUAGUUGGUAAGGUAACGGCUUACCAAGGCAACGAUGCAUAGCCGACCUGAGAGGGUGAUCGGCCACCCUGGAACUGAGACACGGUCCAGACUCCUACGGGAGGCAGCAGAAGGGAAUCUGACGCAAUGGGCGAAAGCCUGACGCAGUAAGGCCGCGUGAGUGAUGAAGGUCUUCGGAUCGUAAAACCCUGUUAUUAGGGAAGAACAUAUGUGUAAGUAACUGUGCACAUCUUGACGGUACCUAAUCAGAAAGCCACGGCUAACUACGUG
rnacentral:rRNA from 1 species